AUUCCAGCUCCAAUAGCGUAUAUUAAAGUUGUUGCAGUUAAAAAGCUCGUAGUUGAAUUUGUGGGAAAGGCCAUGGUCCAAAUGUUUUGGUUCCGUUGGCCGUUGCCAUGCUUGUGUGGAACCUGUGGGGCAUUAGGUUGUCUCGCAGGGGAUGCUCAUCAUUUACUGUGAAAAAAUUAGAGUGUUCAAAGCAGGCUUAUGCCGUUGAAUAGAUUAGCAUGGAAUAAUGAGAUAGGACUUGGGUACUAUUUUGUUGGUUUGCGCACCAAAGUAAUGAUUAAUAGGGACAGUUGGGGGUAUUCGUAUUCCAUUGUCAGAGGUGAAAUUCUUGGAUUUUUGGAAGACGAACUACUGCGAAAGCAUUUACCAAGGAUGCU
rnacentral:rRNA from 2 species